ACGAACGCUGGCGGCGUGCUUAACACAUGCAAGUCUACGAGAAAGAGGUAGCAAUAUCUUGAUUAAAGUGGCGCACGGGUGAGUAACACGUAAGCAAUCUACCCUUAGAUCCGGAAUAACUUCGAGAAAUCGUGGCUAAUACCGGGUAAUGCAGCGGCACCGCAUGGUGAUGUUGUUAAAGUUUCGAUGUCUAGGGAUGAGCUUGCGUCUGAUUAGCUAGUUGGUGAGGUAACGGCUCACCAAGGCUGCGAUCAGUAGCUGGUCUGAGAGGAUGAUCAGCCACACUGGAACUGAGACACGGUCCAGACUCCUACGGGAGGCAGCAGUGAGGAAUAUUGGGCAAUGCCCGCAAGGGUGACCCAGCAACGCCGCGUGGAGGAUGAAUGCCGUAAGGUUGUAAACUCCUGUUAGAGGGGAAGAAUAAUUCCGAUUGCAUCGGAACUUGACUGUACCCUCAGAGAAAGCCCCGGCUAACUACGU
rnacentral:rRNA from 1 species